UAACAUUGCCUUGAGUGAUCAAGCAGGGGCAGUAUUAAUGUCCACAGCAGUGGCACAUGGCUGUAACAUAGCACAACACAAUAGCAUUGAUUUAAGAUGAGAUGAUAAAUAUUGUUCAUUGGUCAGAGGUACUAACCAAUAUGUAAGCUUCCUCCAGGAAGUACUGGAGAAGGACUACAGUUAAGCACGUAGUCUAUCGACCCAUAGCCCUACAUCUUGCUCGGUCUUAAUUAAUAAAUUGUUUUUGUGCCUUCUAGGACUAGUUACUAUUCAUAUGGAGUUGGUCUCUGCACCCGAUCCAAGUACUCCAAGUUCCCGAAUUCCAAGUUCUCCAAACACAACAUUCCGUGCAGUAGGCAGAGAAUUUCCGCUGACGCAACCGCAGACGAGGUGCAUUCAGUUUGACCAAUCAGAAUCAAGGUUUUCAAAUAACUGCCCAAUUACGCUGCUAUACACUGUCAACAUGAAAAGAAUCGAAGUUUGACUUAAAAUCGUGUUGUUCACCACGUUUGCUUUAUUUUAUUUUACCGACUCAAACUUGGCGAAGGUGGACGGCACAGACCUGAUACGAAGACAAGCACAGAAGGUCCGAUACGAAGGCCUGAGCAAUGAAGAGAGCUGUGUGGAGCUGAGUCUGCCCAGCCGAGGCAGACGUGGGCAGACGAGAAUACGGCCAGCAAAAAUACUUUGUUUUAGUGCCCAACAGGCCGUCUGGGGACUUUGAACUGCAAAACAUCCCACCAGGAUAAACGGUGUUAAAACUCCUCUCAACAUCCUGACAUCCUGGGUACCCUGGGUAUGGACAGCCAAAGAGAGGUUCAUUGGGCCCCGUGAUCGUGUCUGAAUUAAGGUAAGAAUCAUAGAAUGAAUGGCUUGUGUGUUUGGACUGGUGUUGUCCUAUUUAUCAUUGCUGUAUUGUUAAUGAGUUGUGAUGAGUCUGUUUCUGAACUAAGAUAUAGCCGUUCCCCUUUGUUUUAUUGUCACUUGAUAUCGAUACCACUUUAGCCACUUGAUAUUG